rnacentral:rRNA from 1 species
AUUGAACGCUGGCGGCAUGCUUUACACAUGCAAGUCGAACGGUAACAGGCCUUCGGGUGCUGACGAGUGGCGAACGGGUGAGUAAUGCAUCGGAACGUACCCAGAGGUGGGGGAUAACGCAGCGAAAGCUGUGCUAAUACCGCAUGUGAUCUGAGGAUGAAAGCGGGGGACCGAGCAGCAAUGUUUGGCCUCGCGCCUUUGGAGCGGCCGAUGUCGGAUUAGCUAGUUGGUGGGGUAAAGGCCUACCAAGGCGACGAUCCGUAGCUGGUCUGAGAGGACGACCAGCCACACUGGGACUGAGACACGGCCCAGACUCCUACGGGAGGCAGCAGUAGGGAAUUUUGGACAAUGGGCGCAAGCCUGAUCCAGCAAUGCCGCGUGCGGGAAGAAGGCCUUCGGGUUGUAAACCGCUUUUGGCAGGAACGAAACGGUGUCCGCUAAUACCGGGCGCUAAUGACGGUACCUGCAGAAUAAGCACCGGCUAACUACGUG